UUGGACUAGGUUCUAGAACACAAAGGUGAAGCAUAUACCACUUGCUUCUCUAUGAGCUCAUAACUCAGAAGGGAAUCUCUAAUAAUAGAUAGUAAUAAAUACUGUAAUGAAGAUGUGUAUGAGAUACUAUAUUAUGCUGUGAACCCUAGAAGGAGGGGUGUUAUUUGUUAUUUAUUUGAUAAAUAACACAUAUUCACUAAGGAUUAGACAUUGGGCUAGAUGUUGAUAGAAGACAAUGAACAAUGAAUGUUGGAGAAUGUCCUUUCCUGCCUCUUAAUCAUUCUGAAUCUAAACUAAUGAUAAACUUCAAUCAGUUAAGAAAUAGCAAAAUCUGCAUCAUCUCCCAAAUCAGUUGUAAAACUGCCACAUGCAACUGACAAGUUUAUUCCUUAUCAAGGGCAAGAAGAACUCUCGAGGCAUCUGACAGCCAGAAAGUGGACAGGAGCAGCGACAGCACCCCUCCGUAAGAUGGUUGCUGCAGUGAAGGUGACUGGACAGGAAGUGUGAGUUAGAGAAAUCCUUGGGGCCAAAAACGUGGAUGUGCCAAAAACUGGACAUGAAGAAAAUUGCUAAUUCCCUUCAGUUAAAUAACAGUUUAGAUUAAACCAGCAAGAACUUUUGCUCUUUAAUAAAAUGCAAAGUUACCAUGCC